AGUGAACGCUGGCGGUAGGCCUAACACAUGCAAGUCGAACGGCAGCACAGUAAGAGCUUGCUCUUACGGGUGGCGAGUGGCGGACGGGUGAGGAAUACAUCGGAAUCUACUUUUUCGUGGGGGAUAACGUAGGGAAACUUACGCUAAUACCGCAUACGACCUACGGGUGAAAGCAGGGGAUCUUCGGACCUUGCGCGAUUGAAUGAGCCGAUGUCGGAUUAGCUAGUUGGCGGGGUAAAGGCCCACCAAGGCGACGAUCCGUAGCUGGUCUGAGAGGAUGAUCAGCCACACUGGAACUGAGACACGGUCCAGACUCCUACGGGAGGCAGCAGUGGGGAAUAUUGGACAAUGGGCGCAAGCCUGAUCCAGCCAUACCGCGUGGUGAAGAAGGCCUUCGGGUUGUAAAGCCCUUUUGUUGGGAAAGAGAAGCAGCAGGUUAAUACCCCGCUGUUCUGACGGUACCCAAAGAAUAAGCACCGGCUAACUUCGUG
rnacentral:rRNA from 1 species